UACGUAGGGGCCGAGCGUUGUCCGGAGUUACUGGGCGUAAAGCGCGCGCAGGCGGUCAUCUAAGCCCAUCGUGAAAGCCCCCCGGCUCAACCGGGGGAGGGUCGACGGGGACUGGGUGACUUGAGGACGGCAGGGGCUGGUGGAAUCCCCGGUGUAGUGGUGAAAUGCGUAGAGAUCGGGGGGAACACCCGUGGCGAAGGCGGCCAGCUGGGCCGGACCUGACGCUGAGGCGCGAAGGCGUGGGGAGCGAACGGG
rnacentral:rRNA from 1 species